rnacentral:rRNA from 1 species
UAGCAUAUCAAUAAGCGCAGGAAAAGAAACCAACAGGGAUUGCCUCAGUAACGGCGAGUGAAGCGGCAACAGCUCAAAUUUGAAAUCUGGCCUCUUGGGGUCCGAGUUGUAAUUUGUAGAGGAUGUUUCGGGUACCGCCUCGGUUUAAAUUUCUUGGAACAGAAUGUCAAAGAGGGUGAGAAUCCCGUCUUGGACCGGCGGUAGGGCCUAUGUGAAACUCCUUCGACGAGUCGAGUUGUUUGGGAAUGCAGCUCAAAAUGGGUGGUAAAUUUCAUCUAAAGCUAAAUAUUGGCCAGAGACCGAUAGCGCACAAGUAGAGUGAUCGAAAGAUGAAAAGCACUUUGAAAAGAGAGUUAAACAGUAUGUGAAAUUGUUGAAAGGGAAGCGCUUGCAACCAGACUUGAGCGCGGCGGUUCCCCCUUGCUUCUGCUUGGGUUACUCCGCCGUGUCCAGGCCAACAUCGGUUCUGGGGGUCGGUCAAAGGCUCUGGGAAUGUAUCUACCCACGGGUAGACUUAUAGACCAGGGUGUCAUGCGACCUCCCGGGACCGAGGAACGCGCUUCGGCUCGGAUGUUGGCGUAAUGGUUGUCAGCGACCCGUCUUGAAACACGGACCAAGGAGUCUAACAUCUAUGCGAGUGUUUGGGUGUCAAACCCGGAACGCGGAAUGAAAGUGAACGGAGGUAGGAAGCUUCGGCUGCACUAUCGACCGAUCCUGAAGUUUACGGAUGGAUUUGAGUAAGAGCAUAGCUGUUGGGACCCGAAAGAUGGUGAACUAUGCCUGAAUAGGGUGAAGCCAGAGGAAACUCUGGUGGAGGCUCGCAGCGGUUCUGACGUGCAAAUCGAUCGUCAAAUUUGGGUAUAGGGGCGAAAGACUAAUCGAACCAUCUGGUAGCUGGUUCUGCAA